GCCCAUAUAGCUCAGUAGGUAGAGUACACCCUUGGUAAGGGUGAGGUCACCGGUUCAAAUCCGGUUAUGGGCU
rnacentral:tRNA from 1 species